GAUGAACGCUGGCGGCGUGCCUAAUACAUGCAAGUCGAACGCACAGCGAAAGGUGCUUGCACCUUUCAAGUGAGUGGCGAACGGGUGAGUAACACGUGGAUAACCUACCUCAAGGUUGGGGAUAACAUUUGGAGACAGAUGCUAAUACCGAAUAAAACUUCGUAUCGCAUGAUACAAGGUUAAAAGGCGCUACGGCGUCACCUAGAGAUGGAUCCGCGGUGCAUUAGUUAGUUGGUGGGGUAAAGGCCUACCAAGACAAUGAUGCAUAGCCGAGUUGAGAGACUGAUCGGCCA
rnacentral:rRNA from 1 species